rnacentral:tRNA from 1 species
GGACUUAGGUUAAACAAACCGGGGGCCUUCAAAGUCCCAAACAAGAGUCAAACCAGCCCUCCUAGUCCCU